UAGCCGUCAUCCUAUAGGUUUCACUCACAUAGAAGCAGCAGGAAUUUCGGGAAGUCCGGUGAAAAACCGGCGCGAACCCGUCGCUGUCAACGAGGACGAAAGCCGUUGCGUUAUGCCAUUGGCCAUCCGGCUGAGAAGGCGCGGCAAGUAGAUUGAUCCGUGAGCCAGAACAUCGAAUCCUGCCUGCUUUCCGCA
rnacentral:ncRNA from 2 species